AGAGCCUGAGAAUUCUGACCUGUGGGAGUAAUGAAGGAUGGCUGGGAGAUGCUGGGUCAGGACUGCCUGCUUUCCUACUGGAAGCUGGUCUGUUUCCAGGCAAAUGCUCUCAGCUCCACAGGUAAAUUGUCAGCAGUGUGCUCCAUCCACUGGGAUUAUUUAUAGACUUGCCCAGGUAA